rnacentral:rRNA from 1 species
GAUGAACGCUAGCGGCAGGCCUAAUACAUGCAAGUCGAGGGGCAGCAGGAAUAGCAAUAUUCGCUGGCGACCGGCGCACGGGUGCGUAACACGUAUACAAUCUGCCUUUAACAGGGGGAUAGCCCGGAGAAAUCCGGAUUAAUACCCCAUAACAGUGAUCUUGGCAUCAAGGACACUUAAAAGCUCCGGCGGUUAAAGAUGAGUAUGCGUCUGAUUAGCUAGUUGGUGAGGUAACGGCUCACCAAGGCGACGAUCAGUAGGGGAUCUGAGAGGAUUAACCCCCAAACGGAUACUGAGGCACGGAUCCGACUCCUACGGGAGGCAGCAGUAAGGAAUAUUGGACAAUGCCCGCAAGGGUGAUCCAGCCAUGCCGCGUGCAGGAAGACGGCCCUAUGGGUUGUAAACUGCUUUUACACCGGAGAAAACCCCACUACGUGUAGUGGGCUGAUAGUAUGGUGAGAAUAAGCAUCGGCUAACUUCGUGCCAGCCGCCGCCGUAA